rnacentral:lncRNA from 1 species
CCGCUCCAUGAAGACGCUCAUUCUGUUUUAUAGAAGUUAGAUGGAUGGCUGCUUGCCAGGGGAUCCAACCGUCUGCUCAGAGCCCCACCCUCCACAUUCGGGGAGGAGAGAGGAACCGAAGGUUGAUCACCAAUGGCCAGUGAUGUAAUUGAUCAUGCCUACAUAAUGAAAUCGCCAUAAAAACCCGUAACGACUGAGUUCAGGGGUUUCCCAGGAAGGUGGUCUUGUAUGGAAGAUUUUGUAUUCGGGGAUGGAAGCUUUUGUAUUUGAGGCCCUUCCAGAGUGUGCCCCGUUUAUGUCUUCAUCUGGC